rnacentral:rRNA from 1 species
UACGUAGGGGGGCAAGCGUUUGUCCGGAUUUAUUGGGCGUAAAGGGUGCGUAGGCGGCGCGGUAAGUCGGGUGUGAAAUCUUGGAGCUUAACUCCGAAACUGCAUUCGAUACUGCCGUGCUUGAGGACUGGAGAGGAGACUGGAAUUUACGGUGUAGCGGUGAAAUGCGUAGAUAUCGUAAGGAAGACCAGUGGCGAAGGCGGGUCUCUGGGCCGAAAUUGACGCUGAGGAGCGAAAGCGUGGGGAGCAAACAGG